GCGGUGGUGUGCCGCACCAUGUCCAAUUCCUUUUUUUUCUUUUCAAAAUCCUCUAGGGUUUAGGAAACCUUAAAUAUGCUUAUAAUAUAAUUUUAUACUUUGACUCACAAAUUCCACAUAGCAAAUAUAAUUAUGUAAUGCAUGAAACAAAUAUAUAUAUAUAUAUAUAUAUAUAUAUAUAUAUAUAAUAUAUAUUGACAAAUAUAUGAACAUACAAUAUAUAUUGGAAGGAAAAUAUAAACAUGGGUUCAUGCAUCAUGGGGAAUGUUUUCAUGCUUCAUGGUCGAUUCAAAUAUCUUACUUUAUUUUAACCGUACAUGAUUGGCAUAAAAUAAUAAAAGCCUUUGAAUUUGUAGAGGAUCGUCCUUGGAAAGCCGGAAUUGCAUCUCCAAUGAGUUGUAUCACGUUCAACAUAGAAAAAUUAAAUUGAAUCAAUAGCAUGUAGAUCAAUUUAAAAUUAAUAAAUUAAUCAUAAAAUGAAUGAUUAAAACGUAAGACUCCCCUGAUUGAAGAAUAAACUCUCUUUAGCGCAGCGUUAAGAACGUGCUGAUAACGUGUUGUAGACAUAAUUUACUGAACAAUUAAGGAGGCCAUAGAGAGAGAGGGGUGUGGCACAUAGAAAGAAAGAGAUAUAUGUGUAAUUGUGGGUGUGUGCUAUUCCACUCCAUUGUGCCUUUAUUUAUAGUAGACCUUUCUCUUUAUGAUUACAACAUUUAAUAGGUAAUCAACUCCUAAUAGGAAUAUAAGAGAUAUUCCAAGAUAUACUAGGAUUUAAACAAUCACAUUCCUAAUCUAAUAGGACUGCAACAAUAUCAUUAUUAUUAAUACACUUAUAGUUGUUUAUACUUGUCGAUAAACUUGAGUGACUUGUUACAAUGUGUAAUGGGCCAAAUUGUUUUUGUAAUCCUUGGUGACACGUCACUUUCAAUGUGACCCUUGUGGUGAAAAAGCUAUUAAUUAAACCCUUGUAGUGGGCUCUAUUAGCAAUUAAGGUCCAAAUCCAAAGUUCUGUUAGUCUUCUGUUAAAUAAAAUCUAUCAAAAUUAAGUUUAUUUAUUUUAGAAAAUAAAAGGACAAAAACAUGAUUGAAUUAAAAUAAAAUUACAAAUAAAGAAACUUGUGAAGAUAAAAAAACCCAAUUGUCCCCGUAUCUCAUCUCAGGCUCCCAGCCACCACCAUAGCCACUAGUGGACCUCCACCGUCGUUAACCAUCACGUCAAAUCCCGUUAACCUAGUCAAAUUGCAGAUUAAGCGAAACCCAUUCUAAAAAACACAUCCCACCUUUCAAAUUUGCAGACCAACCAAAACCCAAGUGAAACUAAACUCGUAAAACCACUUCAAUGGCUAGGAGAAGAGAUGAAGGUGAAGUUGCAUAUAAUUUCUUAGGUAUGAUUUAAUUUCGUUUCGAAAUCCUAAUACUUCUAAUGUUUAUUUUUCAAUGCCAACACGUAUUUGAUCAUGAGUUAAAGUCUUAGUCUUACUUGAAUUUUCAUUCUUGUAUCACUUUGUACUAGUCCGAAUGCAUAUAUGCCCUUCAAUUGCUCGGUAACAACUUU
rnacentral:lncRNA from 1 species